rnacentral:rRNA from 1 species
ACGAACGCUGGCGGCGUGCUUAACACAUGCAAGUCGAACGGAAAGGCCCUGCUUGCAGGGUACUCGAGUGGCGAACGGGUGAGUAACACGUGGGUGAUCUGCCCUGCACUUCGGGAUAAGCUUGGGAAACUGGGUCUAAUACCGGAUAGGAACCAUCUUUAGUGUGGUGGUUGGAAAGUUUUUUCGGUGUAGGAUGAGCUCGCGGCCUAUCAGCUUGUUGGUGGGGUAAUGGCCUACCAAGGCGGCGACGGGUAGCCGGCCUGAGAGGGUGUACGGCCACAUUGGGACUGAGAUACGGCCCAGACUCCUACGGGAGGCAGCAGUGGGGAAUAUUGCACAAUGGGCGCAAGCCUGAUGCAGCGACGCCGCGUGGGGGAUGAAGGCCUUCGGGUUGUAAACUCCUUUCGCUUGGGACGAAGCUUUGUUGUGACGGUACCUAGAGAAGAAGCACCGGCUAACUACGUG